rnacentral:rRNA from 1 species
GCUAUCUUCGUGCCAGCAGCAGUGGUAAUACGAAGGGUCCGAGCGUUAAUCGGAAUGAAUGUGCGUAAAGCGUGCGCAGGCGGGUUGUUAAGCGAGAUGUGAAAGCCCUGGGCUCAACCUAGGAAUAGCAUUUCGAACUGGCGAACUAGAGUCUUGUAGAGGGGGGUAGAAUUCCAGGUGUAGCGGUGAAAUGCGUAGAGAUCUGGAGGAAUACCGGUGGCGAAGGCGGCCCCCUGGACAAAGACUGACGCUCAUGCACGAAAGCGUGGGGAGCAAACAGGAUUAGAUACCCCAGUAGUC